rnacentral:rRNA from 1 species
AUUGAACGCUGGCGGCAUGCCUUACACAUGCAAGUCGAACGGUAACAGGUCUUCGGAUGCUGACGAGUGGCGAACGGGUGAGUAAUACAUCGGAACGUGCCUAGUAGUGGGGGAUAACUACUCGAAAGAGUGGCUAAUACCGCAUGAGAUCUACGGAUGAAAGCAGGGGAUCGCAAGACCUUGUGCUACUAGAGCGGCCGAUGGCAGAUUAGGUAGUUGGUGGGAUAAAAGCUUACCAAGCCGACGAUCUGUAGCUGGUCUGAGAGGACGAUCAGCCACACUGGGAUUGAGACACGGCCCAGACUCCUACGGGAGGCAGCAGUGGGGAAUUUUGGACAAUGGGCGCAAGCCUGAUCCAGCAAUGCCGCGUGCAGGAUGAAGGCCUUCGGGUUGUAAACUGCUUUUGUACGGAACGAAAAGCCCUGGGUUAAUACCCUGGGGUCAUGACGGUACCGUAAGAAUAAGCACCGGCUAACUACGUGCCAGCAGCCGCGGUAAUAC